UCGCAGAGGGAGAUCGACUUCUAUUGCUUCCGAGCUGAACUUCGUGCGGGAGGAGAUCCAAAAAACAGCUGAGGAGUGCGAGGUUAUGUGGGAGCAGAGCGGGACAGAUGACAAGCCUGUCGGACCGUUGCGGUAUUUCAUUAAGAACACUGCACGAAAAAUGCGGCGGUUAGCCAGCU